AAGAAGGGUUUCAGUUGUCUUUGUGGC
rnacentral:misc_RNA from 1 species